UACGUAGGGAGCAAGCGUUGUCCGGAAUCAUUGGGCGUAAAGAGCGCGUAGGUGGCUGCAUAAGUCCGUUGUGAAAGUCAAAGGCUCAACCUUUGAAAGCCGAUGGAUACUGUGGAGCUAGAGUACGGAAGAGGCGAGUGGAAUUCCUGGUGCAGCGGUGGAAUGCGCAGAUAUCAGGAGGAACACCAAUAGCGAAGGCAGCUCGCUGGGACGUUACUGACACUGAGGCGCGAAAGCGUGGGGAGCGAACAGG
rnacentral:rRNA from 1 species